GACGAACGCUGGCGGCGUGCCUAAUACAUGCAAGUCGAGCGGAGUGGUUUGAAAGCUUCUUUCAAACUGCUUAGCGGCGGACGGGUGAGUAACACGUAGGUAACCUGCCUGUAAGACUGGGAUAACAUUCGGAAACGAAUGCUAAUACCAGAUACGCGAUUUUCUCGCAUGGGAGAAUCGGGAAAGACGGAGCAAUCUGUCACUUACAGAUGGACCUGCGGCGCAUUAGCUAGUUGGUGGGGUAACGGCUCACCAAGGCGACGAUGCGUAGCCGACCUGAGAGGGUGAUCGGCCACACUGGGACUGAGACACGGCCCAGACUCCUACGGGAGGCAGCAGUAGGGAAUCUUCCGCAAUGGACGAAAGUCUGACGGAGCAACGCCGCGUGAGUGAUGAAGGCUUUCGGGUCGUAAAGCUCUGUUGCCAGGGAAGAACACUUAGGAGAGUAACUGCUCUUAAGGUGACGGUACCUGAGAAGAAAGCCCCGGCUAACUACGUGCCAGCAGCCGCAGUAACAC
rnacentral:rRNA from 1 species